rnacentral:rRNA from 1 species
CCUGGUUGAUCCUGCCAGUAGUCAUAUGCUUGUCUCAAAGAUUAAGCCAUGCAUGUCUAAGUACACACUUUGGUAAAGUGAAACCGCGAAUGGCUCAUUAAAUCAGCUACAAUUUAUUAGAUCGUACACUGUUACUUGGAUAACUGUGGGAAUUCUAGAGCUAAUACAUGCCGAGAGUCUCUGCUCUUCGGGGCAGAGCGCAGUUAUUAGACCAAAACCAGCCGUAUUCUUCGGGGUACGCUCUUUUGGUGACUCUGGAUAACCUUCAGCCGAUCGCAUGGCCUCGUGCCGGCGACGUAUCUUUCAAGUGUCUGCCCUAUCAACAUUCGAUGGUACGUGAUAUGCCUACCAUGGUGAUAACGGGUAACGGGGAAUCAGGGUUCGAUUCCGGAGAGGGAGCCUGAGAAAUGGCUACCACAUCCAAGGAUGGCAGCAGGCGCGCAAAAUACCCACUCCCAGCUUGGGGAGGUAGUGACGAAAAAUAACAAUGCGGGACUCUAAGAGGCCCCGUAAUUGGAAUGAGUACACCUUAAAUCGUUUAACGAGUAUCAAUUGGAGGGCAAGUCUGGUGCCAGCAGCCGCGGUAAUUCCAGCUCCAAUAGCGUAUAUUAAAGUUGCUGCAGUUAAAAAGCUCGUAGUUGGAUCUGGGGCUUGAGGUCGCUGUCUAUCGUUUCGGCGAUGACGGUGAUGCUCAGCUCUGCUUGCCGGUGACUGUUGCGGUGUUCUUCACUGAGCGCUGUAGCAGCGCGGCACGUUUACUUUGAAAAAAUUAGAGUGCUCAAAGCGUGCUUGUCGCUUGAAUAAUGUUGCAUGGAAUAAUGGAAUAGGACCUCGGUUCUAUUUUGUUGGUUUUCGGAGCUUGAGGUAAUGAUUAAGAGGGACGAACGGGGGCAUUCGUAUUGCGGUGUUAGAGGUGAAAUUCUUGGAUCGCCGCAAGACGGACUACUGCGAAAGCAUUUGCCAAGAACGCUUUCAUUAAUUAAGAACGAAAGUCAGAGGUUCGAAGACGAUCAGACACCGUCCUAGUUCUGACCAUAAACGAUGCCGACCAGCGAUCCGUAGUGGUUGCUUUAUGGACCCUACGGGCAGCCUCCGGGAAACCAAAGUAUUUGGGUUCCGGGGGAAGUAUGGUUGCAAAGCUGAAACUUAAAGGAAUUGACGGAAGGGCACACCAGGAGUGGAGCCUGCGGCUUAAUUUGACCCAACACGGGAAAACUCACCCGGUCCGGACACCGUAAGGAUUGACAGACUGAUAGCUCUUUCUUGAUUCGGUGGAUGGUGGUGCAUGGCCGUUCUUAGUUGGUGGAGUGAUUUGUCUGGUUAAUUCCGAUAACGAACGAGACUCUAGCCUGCUAAGUAGUG